rnacentral:tRNA from 1 species
UAGAAGAACAGGACUUGAACCUGCACAUAAAGACUCAAAAUCUUCAGAACUUCA